AGUAUGCUCGGAUUUUUCGCUUUGUCUCACCACGGGUUGUCAUCCUCUAUUUUUGCAUCGUCAUCGGACUCCGAAUCCCUUUCAUCAACCUUCAGCUUGCAGGUGCAGUGCUGAGCAUACCUAAGCCAAAAAGGUUGCAGCUAAACCGAAGACCGCUCCAAAUGUAAAGGGUGGCCAAGAUAUGUGGUCGACCGACCGUACCAAGAAAGCCAACUCUUUAACCAACCCAAAAAUAGCAAGAGGAAGUGGAAUACGUUAUUGAUUAUGUUGCCUCCAAGUAGGGCGGAAUGUUCAAUAUAAGACGGGAAACUAUGGAUCAAAUGAUGAUUCCCGGGAUUCAAGCAAGAAUUUGGCUUGCUAUGCAUUAAUCAAAAAAUAACUCAGCAGAAGGUCAAGGGCCUACGCGAAUUGAAUAAGAUUCUUGAAGCCAGGAAUGCCAUCACUUCGACCCCCAAUAAUGGCAAAAAAUCCUUGUAGUGGAUUCGGAUGAUAAUGCUAAUGACUCCGAUGUGGACCCUAGUGCCGAUAAAGAAGCAAGCUGAGCAUGGCUCCGACUUUAUCCGUUAGAAAUGGCAAGAAUGCUGCUGAAAUGGAUUCGGAGUCCGAUGACGAUGCAGAAAUGGAGAAUGACAAAUCAGUACAACCCCAGCACACAGAUAUAUAACCCUCAGUUCAUUCUUCGAAAUUCUGGCCAGCAUUUACAUAACAUUGAUGGAUGAAUACAAUUCAUAGUUGCGGUUGUAUGGGCGUGCGCACCUGCUUGAGCUGCGAACAGGACUUUCAGGUAGCAAAGAGCUGCCUCGGCGAAUCAGUGCUCUCUUUGAUGCCCUACGAAGUUCAACAACCGGGCAAGUACAACUUGGACUUGGUGGCCAGCUACGAAGAUGAACUAUUGGCGCCUCUACUGACAGAUGACCAAUUUGCAACUUUUGAGGAAAUGGUGCUGCGCAUACCUUUGCCAAACCUCUGCCUAAUAGUUUUGUAUGGACCAGGGUGAGCCAAGCUUUGGAGAUGGAGGGCAGGUCAUCGCUAUCUUCUGCCGUUUGACGAGCCCUAGCCUUGCGUCCACAUUGGAAUCACUAUCAUCAUCAUCCGAAUCCUCUACAACGAUUUUUUCCCCAUUAUUGGUGGUCAAUAUGUCGGCAAUCCUGGCCUUGACGAUCUUAGUCAAUUCGCGCAGCUCCUUAACAUCAACGUUCUUCUGAGUUACAUUUCGAUUAGUGCAUCGCAAGCCAGAUUCUUGCUUGGCUCUCAGGAAUCAUCCUUUGGCCCAUAGUUUUCCAUCUGAUCUUGAACAUUUCGCCCUCCUUGGUGGCUACAUGAUAAAUCAUUUUUCCACCUCCCUUUGCUUCUCUGAGUCGGUUGAAGCGUUGGCUUUCUUGGUGCCGGCGGUCGGUCGACCACGUACCUUGGCCAUCUUCACAUUUGGUGCGAUUUACAUAGCUGCAACGUUGCAAUUAUUCGAGUAUGAGGAGUUUUUGGCUAAGCUACUCUUAAACUUUCUAACCGAGCUGAAUCCCGAUAUUUCCAAUAUGGAACAAGGAGUUAAUAUAGGGUGGAGCUCAGCCCGGGCGAUGCGGUGAAUCCUCUUCUCUUAUCUAACUUUCUAUCUGUACAAAUGGAGCUUGGGUGAUCAGUCUUUUGGUGCAGAUCCAGCUGCCGGUGCAAUCGAUCCGUGUCUAUCCAUUAGAUUUUAAGGCAGCUGCGAUGGGAGCCACAGCGGGCGUAGACCUCCUCGAAGGAGCGGAUGAGCUCGUCCAUUCCGCGUAGCAGACCCUCCUCUCGGUUUCCAGGCGCCCAAGCACUUCGAUGGUCCACCCUCACAUGGGGUGGCAGCUCCCGGCACUUGGCGAAGUCAAUUAGCCAAACGCCAACGCGAUCGUCAUCGUAGACGAUAAAGAUGCUGGAGCCAAUGAUCUCGUGGCUGGCGAAGAAGGUCGACUGUUCGAUGACCAGGCGCAUGUGCUUUAGUCGCUUCAGCAGCUCCUUUUGCACGGAUCGCCGAGCAGCCAGAAACUGUUCGAUCGUCUGGGCAAUCUGCUCGCUGCUUCGGCACGUCUUCAAAUCCUUGACAGGCGGUCGUCCGCGCAGACGCAGUGCUUCGAUCCGGAAACCCUUGGAGUGGGAGGAGGACAGGGACUCCCGGAAUGUCAUGUACCGCAGCUUGGUGAUCGCUCGUGCCUCGUGCUCCGCAGGCGUGGGAGCUCCCGCAUCCACGGCGAUCAUCUUCUGGUAGAGGUCCGGUCUGAGCGUGGCAUUGCUGACCUCCGAUUCGAGAAAGGUGCGGCUGCCCAUCUUGAUGUCCAUCACACACGGAUCCCGAAAGCCAGCCAGCAGAUCCUGCAGCUCAAUAAAGUGCUGUGAUUGCAUCUCCUGUAUUCCAAAGUAGGCGGGCACUAUCUGAGCGGUCUGUGGUUCCUUGCAGAUCAGUCGGUAGGCAUGUACUUCGCUAUCCUCCAGUCCUGAGAUCCGUUUGCGCACUAUUCCAGUCGAUGUGGGAACAAUGCUGCAAAAUAAGAAUAAUAGUAGCAGUUAGUAAAUUGACUAAUAAAAUGUUUGUUUUC
ensembl:ncRNA hpRNA:CR18854 hairpin RNA:CR18854